rnacentral:rRNA from 1 species
UACGAAGGGGGCUAGCGUUGCUCGGAAUCACUGGGCGUAAAGCGCGCGUAGGCGGGUCGUUAAGUCGGGGGUGAAAUCCUGGAGCUCAACUCCAGAACUGCCUUUGAUACUGGCGAUCUUGAGUCCGGGAGAGGUGAGUGGAACUCCGAGUGUAGAGGUGAAAUUCGUAGAUAUUCGGAAGAACACCCGUGGCGAAGGCGGCUCUCUGGAACGCAACUGACGCUGAGACGCGAAAGCGUGGGGAGCAAACAGG